rnacentral:tRNA from 1 species
GCCCGUCUAGCUCAGUCGGUAGAGCGCAAGACUCUUAACCUUGUGGUCGUGGGUUCGAGCCCCACGGUGGGCG